ensembl:snoRNA
UGGAUCAAUGAUGACCACUAGUGGCGGAUGAGGCCCGCGUGAUGACCACAGCUCUAAGGUCUGAGUUCCGG